GAUGAACGCUGGCGGCGUGCUUAACACAUGCAAGUCUAACGAAGCACUUUAUUUGAUUUCCUUCGGUACUGAUUAUUUUGUGACUGAUUGCCGGACGGCUUAGUAACGCGUGGGUAACCUGCCUUUUCCAGGGGGAUACCAGUUGGAAACGUCUGCUUAUACCGCAUAAGCGCACGGCAUCGCAUGCUGCAGUGUGAAAAACUCCGGUGGUAUAACAUGGACCCGCGUUGGAUUAGCUAGUUGGUGAGGUAACUGCCAACCACGGCGAAGAACCUUAGCCGACCAGAGAGGGUAACCGGCGACAUUGGGACUGAGACACGGCCAAAAAUCCGAAGGGAGGCAGCAGUGGGGAAUAUUGCACAAUGGGAGAAAGCCGGAGGCAGCGACGCCGAGUGAGCGAAGAAGGAUUUCGGUAUGUAAAGCUCUAUCAGCAGGGAAGAUAAUGACGGUACCUGACUAAGAAGCACCGGAUAAAUACGUG
rnacentral:rRNA from 1 species